AAGAGUAGCUCCGGUCCCUACAUGGUGACAUCAUGUAGGCAAAAUAUGCGUUAGUACUUGGAAUGUACUAAGUAUGCGGGGUGCAACACAACAAUAGACAAGGACACAAUCGAAAUACAAGAAAUAGUUUCAUAGGCAUUAUGAAUAACAAUAUGAGGAUGCAUGAUCAAAGUGAAGUCAAAACAUGUUUAAGUAACUCUAUACUAUUAGUAGAUAUCAUAUGUGUAUGCAUGAUCCAACCAAUCUAUAACCCCAACUUAGGAUGGGGGAUGCCGUUCACACCCGGACACCCUGGUGGCAAGGUAUAAACCCCUCACAUGGUUGAUGUUGGUCACACC
rnacentral:lncRNA from 1 species